GGUUUAGUAGUCCUGGCGUCAGGGAUGAACGGACUAGACGACAGGCUUAACACAUGCAGUCGAGGGGCGAGCGGAGAGCAAGCUUGCUUGCUCUGCCGGCGACCGGCGCACGGGUGAGUAACACGUAUGCAAUCUGCCUCCGCAGGGGGAUAACCCGGAGAAAUCCGGACUAAUACCGCGUGGUACACCGGUGGGGCAUCCCACGGGUGUUAAAAGGAAGUGAUUCCGGCGGAGGAUGGGCAUGCGGCGCAUUAGCUUGUUGCGGGUAACGGCCCACCAAGGCGACGAUGCGUAGGGGUUCUGAGAGGAAGGUCCCCCACACUGGUACUGAGACACGGACCAGACUCCUACGGGAGGCAGCAGUGAGGAAUAUUGGUCAAUGGGCGGGAGCCUGAACCAGCCAAGUCGCGUGAGGGAAGACGGUCCUAUGGAUUGUAAACCUCUUUAGGCGGGGAGCAAUGCCGGGCACGCGUGCCCGGAGGGAGAGUACCCGCAGAAUAAGCAUCGGCUAACUCCGUG
rnacentral:rRNA from 1 species